AACGGCGUCGGGCAAGCAGCAAGGCGAGCGCCGGUCAGCGGCUGCCCAAGAUCUCGGAACACAAAAGAAAGUUCACUGAGAAGCCAAACUCCUGUUAUGAGAUCAAAUGGGCCAAAAGCCUGUUUCUGCUGAGGGAGCCCGAGAGCAGAGGUGUCCGCGCUGAGGUGGGACACAGGGUGGGCCAGGACGUCGGCCCCAGGCAGGCAGACUGCAGGCCAACUCACCGGAACCUGACCACCUGGAUUCGGCCAAGGAACAGGAACUAGGGGGUACGCCCCCCAACAGCUACUCUGGCGGACAUGAACAUUAUUAUCUGAAUCACCGAAGAGUACGAGAUCUACAGCCAGAGAGACCCUGGCUCCGUCUCCACACCACCACUCUGAAGGGUAGAUCUUGGGCGAAUCACAGCAAAUUGGUUCCUUCUGAGGCUAGCGUGGUAUUCUCCUCCCCGCCACGUCCAUGCUACCAGGAAUGCUAUACACGCAAAAAAUUGUAUGGCUAUUCUGAAAUUUUCAAGUUGCUAAAACAAACAAACACAAAAAGCAACCAAACAACGCACGAACUCUUGGUUUGGACGGUGGAAGGCACUCAGUCGACGAAGGUAGCGUGUGAACUGCUGGCUGAUGACUCAGGAAGAAAACAGCUCAAAACUUCUCUGUAACUCGGAGAAUGAGUACAGUGGACCCCUUCAAAAGCAGAGCAAGGUGUGUGGGCUUUUCAGAGAGCUGUAUACCUGACAGUGCGUUCUUCACGCAUGGGGAACGUCUACCUCGAGCACACCGGCUCCAAGUGCCUUCUAGGUAACCACCCUGUGGGAGCUGACCUCCCUCCUGCAGGUGCACACCUGGCCUCCUGCAGCUCAGCCUGUGAGACGGCGUAGGGGACCACCUGCCACCACAAGUCACAGCUCCACGGACGCAGUCCUGUUCUCUCUGAAUCAUCAAGUGUCUCAGCCAACUCAGCCCCAAAGUUUCUAUUUUGAGGUGGAGGAGCAGCAGAAGGCCCUUACAGGGCGGCUCCCAACACCACCCCCGCCUCCUUGGGUGCGCCCAGAGGAGCCAGAAAGUACAACAGGAUGAGGCCCACCCGCUGAAGGCAGCAGUCGUAAUCGCGUUCUUACCUGAUGUGGCCGAUCAACUCAAUGAGCUUGUGGCUAAAAAAAUAGGCUGUGAGCUCAGACACAUGACUGAGGACAGAACAGACCCCAAAGAGGGUCGUGGUUCCAUUCAAGUCUUCCAGAUGCCAGUAGAGAAAGGUGAACACGAAGCCGUACCCAAAGCCCAUAAACCAGGCCACGAACAGCACGGAGCCGUACUGCACGCUGCAAAGCAGCCGGAUCAGGUCCCAGAAGCUGAAGGCCUGCGGGUGGCCCGGCGCGCCUGGCGCCUCCUCCGAGGACUCUGUGGAGCUGUUCCCCUCCACUUGCGGGAUCUCCACCUCUUUCCCUUUACUCUCAUUGUUUUUGAAAUGGUUGUAACGGAACCGGAACUGAGUGGCAACAAUCAAGGCCAGGGUCAUGAGAACUCCAAAGACGAUGAAGACGACCUGGUAGUUGCGGUACUCAGGCGGCUUACAGCCCCUUCCGUCGAUGAGCACCUCUAGAUACUGAAGGGUUACGGUGUCCACGAUGGUGACGGAGGAGGCACUGAAAAACUCUCCUAUUAUGACGACCACCAAGAUCACCAAGAAUAUAGCCUCCACCUCUUGCUGAUCAUAAACAAGAGUGACUUGAUCAGAAGGCACGAUAUGCGCGGAGCCCAGGUCCAGCUCACCCGUUACCCUGGUGAGGAGUUUGGAUGCGGUGGGCAUUUCUCAGGCAAAGAAUGAAUGGAAGCUUCGUAGGUGUCACCCAACGUGUCGUUCUUAAACGACCGAACAAAGACGUCGCGGUAUGUAACGACGGUGGUCGCAGCAGCAGCUGACACUUCACGGGACUUACCUGUGCCAGGGCCUUUCACAUAUUCAUUCUCGCAACAGCCCCGUACCAGUGGGUGCUGUUACUCUCCCAUUCGACGGAUGCGAACACGGCUGCGUGUGAAAGGUUAAGCAGCUUGCAGGGUCACCUCGCUCAGCGGCAGCAGGAUCCGCGUUCAGACCAAGGGAGCGUGGCGUCAGGACCGCCCGUGGACCAGCCCCUUCCAUAUUCCCAUAUGGGGGCUUAGGGAUUUUACUUUUUACUAAAAAAAUGUAUUUAUUCGUGAGACACACACAGAGAGGCAGAGACCCAGGCAGAGGGAGGAGCAGCGUCCUCCGGGGAGCCCGACGCGGGACUCGAUCCCGGGACCCCGGGUCACGCACGCCCUGGGCCGAAGGGAGCCCCCUUGAAAGUGUCUCUUCCUCUGACUUGUGACGCUCGAGCCUGGGGUCUUCGUCGCCCCUCUGGCCUCUGUACGCUUCCCUUGGCCUCGGUCCGCGGCCUUGCUUGCUUCUAGCAGCUUCUCUGCUCUCUGUCCUCCUCCUCGGCCGUCGUAGGUCCGCAGGUCGCCUCCCUCGGGUCCCCGGCCCGGAGCACGCCGACCUGCCGCAGCUCUGCCCCCCUCGGCCGGCCCCUCCCCCUCUCCGUCGC